rnacentral:miRNA from 1 species
UGCCCUAUACCUCAGUCGCGGUG